rnacentral:rRNA from 1 species
UACGUAGGGUGCAGGCGUUAAUCGGAAUUACUGGGCGUAAAGCGUGCGUAGGCGGUUUUUUAAGUCAGAUGUGAAAUCCCCGGGCUUAACCUGGGAACUGCGUUUGAAACUGGAAGGCUUGAGUGUGGCAGAGGGGGGUGGAAUUCCACGUGUAGCAGUGAAAUGCGUAGAUAUGUGGAGGAACACCGAUGGCGAAGGCAGCCCCCUGGGCUAACACUGACGCUCAUGCACGAAAGCGUGGGGAGCAAACAGG